rnacentral:rRNA from 1 species
AAGGGGCAAUGCCUUAGUACGGCGAGUGAAGCGGCAAAAGCUCAAAUUUGAAAUCUGGUACCUUCGGUGCCCGAGUUGUAAUUUGGAGAGGGCAACUUUGGGGCCGUUCCUUGUCUAUGUUCCUUGGAACAGGACGUCAUAGAGGGUGAGAAUCCCGUGUGGCGAGGAGUGCGGUUCUUUGUAAAGUGCCUUCGAAGAGUCGAGUUGUUUGGGAAUGCAGCUCUAAGUGGGUGGUAAAUUCCAUCUAAAGCUAAAUAUUGGCGAGAGACCGAUAGCGAACAAGUACAGUGAUGGAAAGAUGAAAAGAACUUUGAAAAGAGAGUGAAAAAGUACGUGAAAUUGUUGAAAGGGAAGGGCAUUUGAUCAGACAUGGUGUUUUGUGCCCUCUGCUCCUUGUGGGUAGGGGAAUCUCGCAUUUCACUGGGCCAGCAUCAGUUUUGGUGGCAGGAUAAAUCCAUAGGAAUGUAGCUUGCCUCGGUAAGUAUU